GGACAGAACAUACGCUGGACAGAGCGAACAAGAUUUUUCCUGUUGUCUGUUGCCAACUGAGCUGAUUCGAAAAAGAUGAAUUCUUAUCUGGUUGUCCUGUUAUCGGUCAUAUUAUAUUCAGUCCAUUCAAUGCGCCAAAUGAAUAAUUUUCCAGUAGAAGCAAACUGCCCACAGUACCACAGACAAUGCUCAUCGCAUAAAGAUUGCGAAGGUUGCAAAAGUGCCAAAUUGUUCUGCCGUAAGCAGGUGAAAAAUCUUAUGAUGCCCAAGUUUAUCUGCAAGUCAAAAUCUGAAGAUGAUCCACACAAAAAACGCGAACCUGGCAUAGAAUCGUCACAGUUGUUUGAGAAGAUUAGACGCCAGGAUUUUGUGGAAGGAAGAAGAACCAGUUCUUUACGCAAAUCGAAUAACUAUCAUAUUAAUGCCCUUUUGUUGACGAAGAUUUCAUUCCGGCUCAGCCGAAAUCUUGUAUUGCCCGUCCGAAGCACUCGACAGGUUCGAAAAUCAAAGGAGAUGAAAGAGAAAAGAAGUCCAAGAUAUAAGAAACUUUUGGAAGCAAAAGAUAUAUAUAUUAUUCAUAAAUGAUUUCAAGUUUGCUGUUUAUAAUAGAAUAAUGGGGCUCAACAAUUCAGAUUGACUGUAGUGAAUUAUCUUUUAAAAAUGAAACAGGUACAUGUUCAAACAGUUUACUAGCAAUUAAACAAAAUUAGAUGGGAAUAACGAAUCAAACGAUGAUAUUUACUUUUUGUUGUUUUGAAUCGUUGGUUUCUAGUUGUUUGUUUUUCUCAAGGAAACAAGACAAAAUUAAGGCAUCAUCAUGAAAAUAGAAUAUGGCGUAACACUGUCUAUUCACAUUAUCUGCUUCUUUUAAAACACAGGGCUACACGGGGGUAAAUAGUAAAUGAAACCUUAUCGUCAAUGAAACUUUUGGUUGAGAUUACUUUAAGAAAUACAGUAGCAAUAUUUGCCAAACUUCAUCAGAUUCCAGAAUGGAAUCCAGAAAUACAGCUGAGAAGUGGAAGCUUUCUUGAAAAUUCCAAAUUAUGAAAUUAGUAAUAAUGUAUUGGUUGAUAGCUGCAGCCUGGUUCAGGAUCUUCCUAUCCAGCUUUAGGAAGAUCCAGCGUUCAGUUCAUUUCAUUUUAAACUCCACAACAUAUAUGAAAACACUCUAAUUUCAGCAACUCAAAACAAUCAAACUAGCUACAUGCAG